ensembl:lncRNA
CGUCAGGCCACGUUGAGGUGGCAUCCCACAUCCCACAACUAGCAGGACCUGCAACUAAGAUAUACAACUGUGUACAGGGAGGGGUUGGGGAGAUAAAGCAGAAAAGGAAAAAAAAAAGAUUGGCAACAGUUGUUAGCCCAGGUGCCAAUCCUUAAAAAAAAAAAAUUAUUUUUAAUUUUGUUAGUUGAGAUAAUGGUUUGUGUUAUAUAAAACAUUUUUCUCAUAUUUUAGAGAUACAUUCAGAAUUUAGAUUGAUGAAUUCAGAGCUUCGCUUUUAAAGUCUGUAGUGGAGCUUACCUCUGAGGCUUUUUAUUCAGAAGGCCAUGAUAGAGAGGAAUCUUCUUGCUUGUUUGUUUUAACCUCCAUGGGUAAUUCUGAUGAGAAGCCAGGUUUAGGAAUCGCUAUAUUAAGUACUCAAAAGUCCCUUCUAACCUGGAGAGUGCAUGAUCUUCAGGUAACUGCGGGCUGCCAAGUGUGUCUCUUCAGUAGUAGUGGCGAGCAGCGUCUUUAGGAGGCGGCUGUUAUUACAUUGAUACUGCCUGGCGGAUCAAGGAAAUGAAGCUUUGUUCUAGCGUGUAUUACAGGAAGUCAUUCUUACCCAAAUGGAUAUUGCUAGCAAUGGACUCCUUAGGAAAAACUUCCCUGGAGGAGUGGCCUUAGAGCCACAGACCAGAGGCUCUCCUGGGCUUUUGACAGCGAACGAGAUGAAGGAACAGCCAAAGGCAAAAAGCCUCCCUCGUGGAAAACGGAACAAUUCUGGGAGAAGACACUGCCUGAGGGAUUUUACAAUCCUUUGUGAGUAAUAAAAGACUGGAAUGUGGAACAAUAAGUGAUAAAAAUAUGGCCACAAUCAAAGGCAUCUGGUCAAAGAAACACCCGUGCUCUCCGGAGGGGCUGAGCUUGAAGAGUAAGGGCAGAAAGUGGCGGGUAUAUGAAUACAAGACAGAUACUGGGUGGUGGCUAAGAGCGUGGGCUGUCUCCUGGCUUUGCCACUGCCUGGCCCCAGGGACUUUGGGCAAGUCACUCCACUGUUUGUGCCUCGGGGUGACCAUGUCUGAAGGGUGGAUAUAGUAGUCCUUGCCUUGUAGUUUUCUGGGGAUCAAGUGGGAUGAUGUAAGUGCCUGACCCAUAGUGAGUGCACAAUACAUAUUAACUAUUCUCAUUAUUAUUAUAUUAAGAUUGGAGUGGAGCUAAUCUGGGAAGCAUCCUAAAGUUAAAACUCUAAGUCUCAGAAGACUUCUAAAUAAACUAGCUGAAAAAAAUGUCAGGUUUGUGGAAAAGAUUCAGGAAAACACUCUUUAAAAAAAUGCCUUAGUUACAACCCACAUGCACCUGCUGGCAGGUGGAGGCAGCAGACGCUUAGUUAGAAUUUCUCAAGAGCAUGCUGAGUUGUACUUCCUCCUGUCUUCUCCCACACGAUUUAAACUUGGAAUCAUGUUCAGAGGGCAGUUAACCAGGGCUGAGUAUGCUGCACUGUCUAGGGUCAUGAAAUGGAGCCAAGCCAACUGGCCUUCUUCGGAACAGUGCAUUUGGACUCCGGCCACUGAGCCAGCCAGCUAAUGACUUGCCAACACAAACAAGCUUCAACAUUCACCGUCAUCUCAGAGAUCUGGUGAGCUUUAGAGGGCCUCAGUUCUCUGAUAGUGCUUGGUAAUCUAUAAAGUGCUUUUAAUUGAGAAGUAUUAUCAGUGUUCCGUUAAGCUCUUUGCCCAGGUCUCUGUCUCUGAAGAAUGUGACAAGAAACAAAUGCA